CAGCCGCCACGGGAAUACGUAGGUGGCAAGCGUUGUCCGGAAUUAUUGGGCGUAAAGGGCUCGCAGGCGGUUUCUUAAGUCUGAUGUGAAAGCCCCCGGCUCAACCGGGGAGGGUCAUUGGAAACUGGGAAACUUGAGUGCAGAAGAGGAGAGUGGAAUUCCAUGUGUAGCGGUGAAAUGCGUAGAGAUGUGGAGGAACACCAGUGGCGAAGGCGACUCUCUGGUCUGUAACUGACGCUGAGGAGCGAAAGCGUGGGGAGCGAACAGGAUUAGAUACCCGUGUAGUCCCUGUCUCUUAUCC
rnacentral:rRNA from 1 species